AGUGAACGCUGGCGGUAGGCCUAACACAUGCAAGUCGAACGGCAGCACAGUAAGAGCUUGCUCUUACGGGUGGCGAGUGGCGGACGGGUGAGGAAUACAUCGGAAUCUACUUUUUCGUGGGGGAUAACGUAGGGAAACUUACGCUAAUACCGCAUACGACCUACGGGUGAAAGCAGGGGAUCUUCGGACCUUGCGCGAUUGGAUGAGCCGAUGUCGGAUUAGCUAGUUGGCGGGGUAAAGGCCCACCAAGGCGACGAUCCGUAGCUGGUCUGAGAGGAUGAUCAGCCACACUGGAACUGAGACACGGUCCAGACUCCUACGGGAGGCAGCAGUGGGGAAUAUUGGACAAUGGGCGCAAGCCCGAUCCAGCCAUACCGCGUGGGUGAAGAAGGCCUUCGGGUUGUAAAGCCCUUUUGUUGGGAAAGAAAAGCAGCAGGUUAAUACCCCGCUGUUCUGACGGUACCCAAAGAAUAAGCACCGGCUAACUUCGUG
rnacentral:rRNA from 1 species